GUCUAUGGUGGUUCGCGCGGUUCGCCGGUUCGCGAACAUUUGCGGAAGUUCGCGUUCGCCGUUCGCGAACCGAAAAUUUCGUGUUCGCGACAUCACUAUAGCUAAUAUGUCAACUGUUCAAAUAUAUUGCACUUUGACUACAACAUGCUGUGAUAUAUAAAGUUUCUGGUCCUUCUUGAAUGUAGAUGAUAAUAGAAUGGAAUGUGGCUGAAAUCUCAG